rnacentral:rRNA from 1 species
CGAACGCUGGCGGCGUGCUUAACACAUGCAAGUCGAACGGUGAAGCGCCUUCCUUUUUGGUGGGUGUGGAUGAGUGGCGAACGGGUGAGUAACACGUGAGUAACCUGCCCCCUUCUUCUGGAUAACCGCAUGAAAGUGUGGCUAAUACGGGAUAUUCUGGGUCUGUCGCAUGAUGGGUCUGGGAAAGAUAUUGUUUCGGUGGGGGAUGGGCUCGCGGCCUAUCAGCUUGUUGGUGGGGUGAUGGCCUACCAAGGCGGUGACGGGUAGCCGGCCUGAGAGGGUGGACGGUCACACUGGGACUGAGACACGGCCCAGACUCCUACGGGAGGCAGCAGUGGGGAAUAUUGCACAAUGGGCGCAAGCCUGAUGCAGCGACGCCGCGUGAGGGAUGGAAGCCUUCGGGUUGUGAACCUCUUUCGCCAGUGAAGCAGGCCUGCCUCGUUUGUGGGUGGGUUGACGGUAGCUGGAUAAGAAGCGCCGGCUAACUACGUG